ensembl:snoRNA
UAGCCAAGCAAGUGCAGUUGCUGUGCUUUGUGCUGCGCAGCUGUUUAAUACCUGGCGAGAUGACAGCCAUAGUACGAGCCCCGACAUCCUCAUGUGAUAUCUGGGGUCCCUAUAAGUGGCUACAUAU